rnacentral:rRNA from 1 species
AUUGAACGCUGGCGGCAGGCUUAACACAUGCAAGUCGAACGAGUGGCGGACGGGUGAGUAAUGUCUGGGAAACUGCCUGAUGGAGGGGGAUAACUACUGGAAACGGUAGCUAAUACCGCAUACCAUCGGAUGUGCCCAGAUGGGAUUAGCUAGUAGGUGGGGUAACGGCUCACCUAGGCGACGAUCCCUAGCUGGUCUGAGAGGAUGACCAGCCACCCGUGAGCUGAGACACGGGCCAGACUCCUCCGGGAGGGAGCAGUGGGGAAUAUUGCACAAUGGGGGCAAGCCUGAUGCAGCCAUGCCGAGUGUAUGAAGAAGGCCUUCGGGUUGUAAAGUACUUUCAGCGGGGAGGCGGUACCCGCAGAAGAAGCACCGGCUAACUCCGUGCCAGCAGCCGCGGUAAUUC